CUGAGCCAGCCAUGGCAGCUUGGAGGCAGGAACAUGUCAGGAGGAGGAAGAGGAGUGGCAGUGCAGGAGAGAGCUUCUUCAUCUUUGAUCAGCUGUUGUGUAAUGAAGUUCUGGUUUGUUUAGUUACCUGAGCCAGCCAUGACAACAUAAUUUGCAGAGUUGAUGCUUUUGGGUUUCAUAUUCCAUGCAAGCAUGUGCUCUGCCACAGUUUGCACGUUUUAUUCACUCAAACAAUAAAACCUGUAACUCAAUUUAAUUAAUUACCUGUCGACCAUCUAGUUAAUAUAUACUAGCUAGUGCUACAUUCCAUUCACUUGCCAGUCUGGCAGCAGCACGAACACGCAGGUCUCGGUUUGAAUCUAAAUCUCUGAUAAUAACAAAAGGGUGCAUAUGACUUUUUCUGAUGCUGUUUCCCACAUGCAUGCCCAUGACAUCAUUUCUCCAUCUAAUGAUUAAAUCCCCCUCUCUUCACACAGACACGUUACAAGAUCAAAUUAAGAAACUAAGUUAAUGUACUAUUUUCUUUAUGCAUACACAUGUUCAAAUAAAAAAAGUUGUUGUGACGUUGUCAUGUUUCAGCGUCUUACUUGGGGGAAUAGUCAUGUCCUCAUAUUUGCAUCAUGUUAUGUUCUCAACUUUGUAUCCUUGGUUCUCAGUAGGAGUUUAGGUGUGGUGUCAAUUAGUUUCAGAAGGUAAAUUGAAUUUUAAGUUAGUCUUGUUCAUUAUUUAUUAAGUUAUCUGUUGUUGUUAAGAUUUCUAUGUCUUGAGUUGUUUUUUCUUAGGACUUCAUUAAAUUUGCAUCCUGCUAAAUAUAUAUUCAUGAUAUAUGUGUAAUCUGCUUGCAUGUUCAACUUUUAAUGUGAUAGGUUAAAAAUGAUAAAUGAUGGAAGGGAUUCAAUGAUCCAACAUAAACGUACAAGGGAAGAAUUUGAGAGGAGAGAGGAUGAGGAUAUUGUUAUGGUAACGGUCAGUUUUAUAGUUGCUACCAUUGGUGUUUGGUACUAUACAAAGCACAUGUUGAAGGGGAGUUCAAGAACAAACGAAGAAGAGGAUGAAAGGACAUAUCUUAGAAAGUCUUGGAUUCGAACUCUUAUUUGCAAUGCAAAUAAUUGUGUUGAACAACUAAGGAUGAAUCCUCAAGUGUUUAAGAGGUUAUGUGAUGUUCUAUGUACUAGAGACAAGAGUUUAUAAAAAUGUAUGAAAAUAAAUGACGUUACCCACAAAUCAUCAAGAGUUGAAGCAUAAUACAUAGCAAGAUAAGGAGGAGGGAAAAAAAGGCUAAAAUAAUAGCUGGACAAAAACUAGCUCGAAGCUUAAUUAAACUUCUGCUUCCUCUUUGAGCUGUGGCUUGAUUAUGAGCUCGAUGGAAUGUUAAGACCACUCUUUGGAUGAAUCUCGUAAGCCUAUAAUCUAUAUUUGGUAGGUAUGAUCUUUCUAAAAAUGUUUAGUUUGGCUUCAUAUGUACUCUUCAAGUUCGGUUAGUUAACUUCAAUAUAUACAAUCAACUUUUUACAUGCAUGCAAUGCAAAUAAUUGUGUUGAACAACUAAGGAUGAAAGGACUAAUUUCGUGCUUCUUGCUGCUGAUUUAAUUGCAUAAAAAGGCAUAGCUGGUGGAUUUGCAUCCCAAGACAAUCUAUUGCCACCUGCUACCAUUGGUCUUCUUGGAUUGCUUCUACUAUUUAAGGUAAAAUACAAAGUUUGAGAUGAACUUUCUUUUCCUCAGUUUGAGUGAUAGCAGCAGUGGCAUCUAAGAUAUGUUAACAAAAUAUACAUGAUUAGCAAAUUUCUCACAACUUGAUUAGCAAAUUAAGAUAAGUUUAGAGAGUUUUCCUCAGUUUUGUACUUCUCACAACUUGAUUAGCAAAUUUCUACACCUUGUCAACUCAUAUAUACAUGCAGGUCAUUCAAUUGAACUGCAUUAAUUGUGAAUGCCACCUUUACCUUCUCAAUAUUAUUUGUUUUUCUACUUAGUUGGUCUGUGUGUUAUGGUGAUCUAUUGCAACAGAAUGUGUCAUAUAUGUUCUGAGAUCAUUUUAUAUCCAGUAUGCUUUUCUCAUAAGCAGUCUCAGGCUUUUCUAAUAUCAACGUUAUGGGUUUUUUUUCGCAGGUCAAACGUGAUAUUAUGCUGAGUGCUUGUGCUUUGGUCUCACCUUUUUUGUUUCUCAUUGUCACUUGUUGUGGUGUUUGCUUCUAUGGUGAAUGAUUGUGGCUUAUAGUGUAAUCCAAUAUAUUGGCAUCUGAUGUUUUGUGGUUUGGUACAUUUGCUCUUUUAUUGGAUGUCUUUGUAAAGAUACUAGUGGAGAGUAUAUCAAAGUGAUGUCCAAGUACGUUAACGAAAAAAUUGAAAGAUACUUAUUAUA